rnacentral:rRNA from 1 species
GAUGAACGCUAGCGAUAGGCUUAACACAUGCCAGUCGAGGGGCAGCAUGGUCUUAGCUUGCUAAGACUGAUGGCGACCGGCGCACGGGUGCGUAACGCGUAUGCAACUUGCCUCACAGAGGGGGAUAACCCGUCGAAAGACGGACUAAUACCGCGUACACUUGGGAUAGGGCAUCCUGACCCAAGGAAAUGAAAUUCGCUGUGAGAUAGGCAUGCGUCCCAUUAGCGAGUUGGUGCGGUAACGGCUAACCAAGGCGACGAUGGGUAGGUGAACUGAGAGGCUGAACCCCCACACUGGUACUGAGCCACGGACCACACUCCUACGGGAGGCAGCAGUGAGGAAUAUUAGUCAAUGGGCGAGAGCCUGAACCAGCCAAGUCGCGUGAAGGAUGACUGUCUUAUGAAUUGUAAACUUCUUUUAUACGGGAAUAACAAGAGCCACGUGUGGCUCCCUGCAUGUACCGUAUGAAUAAGCAUCGGCUAACUCCGUG